rnacentral:rRNA from 1 species
UAGGGAAUCUUCGGCAAUGGGGGGAACCCUGACCGAGCAACGCCGCGUGAGUGAAGAAGGUUUUCGGAUCGUAAAGCUCUGUUGUUAAGGAAGAACGAGUGUGAGAAUGGAAAGUUCAUGCUGUGACGGUACUUAACCAGAAAGGGACGGCUAACUACGUGCCAGCAGCCGCGGUAAUACGUAUGGGGCGAGCGUUGUCCGGAAUUAUUGGGCGUAAAGGGUACGUAGGCGGUUUUUUAAGUCAGGUGUCAAAGCGUGGAGCUUAACUCCAUUAAGCACUUGAAACUGAAAGACUUGAGUGAAGGAGAGGAAAGUGGAAUUCCUAGUGUAGCGGUGAAAUGCGUAGAUAUUAGGAGGAAUACCGGUGGCGAAGGCGACUUUCUGGACUUUUACUGACGCUCAGGUACGAAAGCGUGGGGAGCAAACAGG